GACGAACGCUGGCGGCGUGCUUAACACAUGCCAGUCGAACGGAAAGGCCCUGCUUUUGUGGGGUGCUCGAGUGGCGAACGGGUGAGUAACACGUGAGUAACCUGCCCUUGACUUUGGGAUAACUUCAGGAAACUGGGGCUAAUACCGGAUAGGAGCUCCUGCUGCAUGGUGGGGGUUGGAAAGUUUCGGCGGUUGGGGAUGGACUCGCGGCUUAGCAGCUUGUUGGUGGGGUAGUGGCUUACCAAGGCUUUGACGGGUAGCCGGCCUGAGAGGGUGACCGGCAACAUUGGGACUGAGGUACGGCCCAGACUCCUACGGGAGGCAGCAGUGGGGAAUAUUGCACAAUGGGCGGAAGCCUGAUGCAGCAACGCCGCGUGCGGGAUGACGGCCUUCGGGUUGUAAACCGCUUUCGCCUGUGACGAAGCGUGAGUGACGGUAAUGGGUAAAGAAGCACCGGCUAACUACGUG
rnacentral:rRNA from 1 species